GACGAACGCUGGCGGCGUGCUUAACACAUGCAAGUCGAACGGAAAGGCCUGCUUUCCCUUGUGGAUUGCGGGUACUCGAGUGGCGAACGGGUGAGUAACACGUGAGUGAUCUGCCCCCAACUUGGGUAUAAGCCUGGGAAACUGGGUCUAAUUCCCGAUAGGACUGCAGGGUGGUGCCUGUGGUGGAAAACGAUUUUCUAGUGGUUGGGGAUGAGCUCGCGGCCUAUCAGCUUGUUGGUGGGGUAAUGGCCUACCAAGGCGGCGACGGGUAGCCGGCCUGGGAGGGUGGACGGCCACAUUGGGACUGAGAUACGGCCCAGACUCCUACGGGAGGCAGCAGUGGGGAAUAUUGCACAAUGGGCGGAAGCCUGAUGCAGCGACGCCGCGUGGGGGAUUACGGCCUUCGGGUUGUAAACUCCUUUCGACCGCGAGGAAGCCACCUGGUUGGAAGGGUGGUGACGGUAGUGGUAGAAGAAGCACCGGCUAACUACGUG
rnacentral:rRNA from 1 species